rnacentral:rRNA from 1 species
UACGUAGGGGGCUAGCGUUGUCCGGAAUCAUUGGGCGUAAAGCGCGUGUAGGCGGUCCGGUAAGUCCGCUGUGAAAGUCGGGGGGCUCAACCCUCGGAUGCCGGUGGAUACUGUCGGGCUUGAGUACGGAAGAGGCGAGUGGAAUUCCUGGUGUAGCGGUGAAAUGCGCAGAUAUCAGGAGGAACACCAAUUGCGAAGGCAGCUCGCUGGAACGUAACUGACGCUGAGACGCGAAAGCGUGGGGAGCAAACAGG